GACAGAGGGUGCAAACGUUGCUCGGAAUUACUGGGCGUAAAGCGCGUGUAGGCGGUCUCGCGAGUCGGGUGUGAAAGCCCGGGGCUCAACCCCGGACGUGCAUUCGAUACUACGAGGCUGGAGUACUGUAGAGGAGAGCGGAAUUCCCGGUGUAGAGGUGAAAUUCGUAGAUAUCGGGAGGAACACCUGUGGCGAAAGCGGCUCACUGGACCACAACUGACGCUGAGGCGCGAAAGCUAGGGGAGCAAACAGG
rnacentral:rRNA from 1 species